AAAGGGUGUCUAAUACCGGAUACGACCAUUCCCUGCAUGGGGUGAUGGUGGAAACUUUUGUGGGUGGGGGAUGUGCUCGCCGCCUAUCAGCUUGUUGGUGGGGUAAUGGCCUACCAAGGCUUCGACGGGUAGCCGGCCUGAGAGGGUGACCGGCCACACUGGGACUGAGACACGGCCCAGACUCCUACGGGAGGCAGCAGUGGGGAAUAUUGGACAAUGGGCGGAAGCCUGAUCCAGCAACGACGCGUGAGGGAUGACUGCCUUCGGGUUGUAAACCUCUUUCAUCAUUGACGAAGCCUGAUGUUGAGUUGGGUGACGGUAGGUGGAGAAGAAGCACCGGCCAACUACGUGCCAGCAGCCGCGGUAAUACGUAGGGUGCGAGCGUUGUCCGGAAUUAUUGGGCGUAAAGGGCUCGUAGGCGGUUUGUCGCGUCGCGAGUGAAAACACUGGGCUUAACCGAGUGCUUGCUUUCGAUACGGGCAGACUAGAGGUAUGCAGGGGAGAACGGAAUCCCUGGUGUAGCGGUGAAAUGCGCAGCUAUCAGGAGGAACACCGGUGGCGAAGGCGGUUCUCUGGGCAAUACCUGACGCUGAG
rnacentral:rRNA from 1 species